rnacentral:rRNA from 1 species
UACGUAGGGUGCGAGCGUUAAUCGGAAUUACUGGGCGUAAAGCGUGCGCAGGCGGUUUUGUAAGCCAGAUGUGAAAGCCCCGGGCUUAACCUGGGAAUGGCAUUUGGGACUGCAAGGCUUGAGUGCGGCAGAGGAGACUGGAAUUCCCGGUGUAGCAGUGAAAUGCGUAGAUAUCAGGAGGAACACCGACGGCGAAGGCAGCACUCUGGGCCGGUACUGACGCUGAGGAGCGAAAGCAUGGGGAGCGAACAGG